AGCAGCCGCGGUAAUUCCAGCUCCGAUAGCGUAUAUUAAAGUUGUUGCAGUUAAAAAGCUCGUAGUUGAAUUUCGGGGUUCUACCGUUGGUCGGGCUUUGUCUGUACUGGCGUGUAGAAUUUCUACCUUCUGGGGAACUAUCAUGUUAUUAAUUUAACGUGGUGGGAAACCAGGACCUUUACCUUGAAAAAAUUAGAGUGUUCAAAGCAGGCUUAUGUCUGAAUACAUUAGCAUGGAAUAAUAAAAUAGGACGGUGGUCCUGUUUUGUUGGUUUCUGAAUCACCGUAAUGAUUAAUAGGGAUAGUUGGGGGCAUUAGUAUUCAAUUGUCAGAGGUGAAAUUCUUGGAUUUAU
rnacentral:rRNA from 1 species